ACUCCUACGGGAGGCAGCAGUGGGGAAUAUUGGACAAUGGGCGCAAGCCUGAUCCAGCCAUGCCGCGUGAGUGAUGAAGGCCCUAGGGUUGUAAAGCUCUUUCACCGGUGAAGAUAAUGACGGUAACCGGAGAAGAAGCCCCGGCUAACUUCGUGCCAGCAGCCGCGGUAAUACGAAGGGGGCUAGCGUUGUUCGGAUUUACUGGGCGUAAAGCGCACGUAGGCGGACUAUUAAGUCAGGGGUGAAAUCCCGGGGCUCAACCCCGGAACUGCCUUUGAUACUGGUAGUCUUGAGUUCGAGAGAGGUGAGUGGAAUUCCGAGUGUAGAGGUGAAAUUCGUAGAUAUUCGGAGGAACACCAGUGGCGAAGGCGGCUCACUGGCUCGAUACUGACGCUGAGGUGCGAAAGCGUGGGGAGCAAACAGGAUUAGAAACCCUUGUAGUCCCAUG
rnacentral:rRNA from 1 species